rnacentral:rRNA from 1 species
AUUGAACGCUGGCGGCAUGCCUUACACAUGCAAGUCGAACGGCAGCACGGGUGCUUGCACCUGGUGGCGAGAGGCGAACGGGUGAGUAAUACAUCGGAACGUACCUUAUCGUGGGGAAUAACGCAGCGAAAGCUGUGCUAAUACCGCAUACGCCCUGAGGGGGAAAGCGGGGGAUCGAAAGACCUCGCGCGAUUAGAGCGGCCGAUGCCUGAUUAGCUUGUUGGUGGGGUAAAAGCCCACCAAGGCGACGAUCAGUAGCUGGUCUGAGAGGACGAUCAGCCACACUGGGACUAAGACACGGCCCAGACUCCUACGGGAGGCAGCAGUGGGGAAUUUUGGACAAUGGUGGCAACCCUGAUCCAGCAAUGCCGCGUGAGUGAAGAAGGCCUUCGGGUUGUAAAGCUCUUUUGUCAGGGAAGAAACACCGGCUCUAACACAGUCCGGGAAUGACGGUACCUGAAGAAUAAGCACCGGCUAACUACGUGCCAGCCGCCGCCGUAA